rnacentral:rRNA from 1 species
GUGAUUAUGGUGGAGGUGUUAUACCCGUUCCCAUCCCGAACACGGAAGUCAAGCCCUCUCACGCCGAUGAUACUGCCCUACAGGGCGGGAAAGUAGGUCGUCGCCAGGC